rnacentral:rRNA from 1 species
UACGUAGGGGGCUAGCGUUGUCCGGAAUCAUUGGGCGUAAAGAGCGUGUAGGCGGCCCGGUAAGUCCGCUGUGAAAGUCGGGGGCUCAACCCUCGAAAGCCGGUGGAUACUGUCGGGCUAGAGUGCGGAAGAGGCGAGUGGAAUUCCUGGUGUAGCGGUGAAAUGCGCGGAUAUCAGGAGGAACACCGAUUGCGAAGGCAGCUCGCUGGGACGUAACUGACGCUGAGACGCGAAAGCGUGGGGAGCAAACAGG